AUGCCUGUUCGAGCGUCAUUUUAACCACUCAAGCCUGGCUUGGUGUUGGGGUUCGCGGUCUCGCGACUCUUAAAAUCAGUGGCGGUGCCUUUAGGCUCUGAGCGUAGUAAUUUCUCUCGCUAUGGGGUCUAGUGGUAGCUUGUCAAACCCCCAUUUCUAUGGUUGACCUCGGAUCAGGUAGGGAUACCCGCUGAACUUAA
rnacentral:misc_RNA from 1 species